rnacentral:rRNA from 1 species
AUUGAACGCUGGCGGCAUGCCUUACACAUGCAAGUCGAACGGUAACGGGCCUUCGGGUGCCGACGAGUGGCGAACGGGUGAGUAAUGCAUCGGAACGUACCUUUCAGUGGGGGAUAACGUAGCGAAAGUUACGCUAAUACCGCAUAUUCUGUGAGCAGGAAAGCAGGGGAUCGCAAGACCUUGCGCUGAUUGAGCGGCCGAUGUCAGAUUAGCUAGUUGGUGAGGUAAAGGCUCACCAAAGGCGACGAUCUGUAGCGGGUCUGAGAGGAUGAUCCGCCACACUGGAACUGAGACACGGUCCAGACUCCUACGGGAGGCAGCAGUGGGGAAUUUUGGACAAUGGGGGCAACCCUGAUCCAGCCAUGCCGCGUGAGUGAAGAAGGCCUCGGGUUGUAAAGUCACUUUUUGAGAGGAUGAGGAAGGACGGGUACUACUCAGAAUAAAGUACUCGGCGUAACUAACGUAGCCAGCAGACCGCGUAACGUCUCGUCUCUA